AUACGGAGGAUCCGAGCGUUAUCCGGAUUUAUUGGGUUUAAAGGGUGCGCAGGCGGCCAUUUAAGUCAGCGGUUAAACCGUGGGGCUCAACCCCAUUCUGCCGUUGAUACUGGGUGGCUUGAUUGCGGUCGAGGUUGGCGGAAUUCGUUGUGUAGCGGUGAAAUGCAUAGAUAUGACGAAGAACACCGAUUGCGUAGGCAGCUGACCAGACCGCAAAUGACGCUCAUGCACGAAAGUGCGGGGAUCGAACAGGAUUAGAUACCCUGGUAGUCCGCACAGUAAACGAUGAAUACUUGUUUUCGGCGAUAUAAUGUCGGAGGCAAAGCGAAAGCGAUAAGUAUUCCACCUGGGGAAUACGCCGGCAACGGUGAAACUCAAAUGAAUUGGCGGGG
rnacentral:rRNA from 1 species